GAUGAACGCUAGCGGCAGGCUUAAUACAUGCAAGUCGUGGGGCAGCGCAGUGUAGCAAUACAUGGCGGCGACCGGCAAACGGGUGCGGAACACGUACACAACCUUCCUACAAGUGGGGAAUAGCCCAGAGAAAUUUGGAUUAAUACCCCGUAACAUAUAAAGAUGGCAUCAUUUUAUAUUAUAGCUACGGCGCUUGUUGAUGGGUGUGCGGCUGAUUAGGUAGUUGGCGGGGUAAUGGCCCACCAAGCCUGCGAUCAGUAGCUGAUGUGAGAGCAUGAUCAGCCACACGGGCACUGAGACACGGGCCCGACUCCUACGGGAGGCAGCAGUAAGGAAUAUUGGACAAUGGGCGCAAGCCUGAUCCAGCCAUGCCGCGUGAAGGAUUAAGGUCCUCUGGAGUUGCAAACUUCUUUUAUAAGGGACGAAAAAGGGAAUUC
rnacentral:rRNA from 1 species